UGAACGCUGGCGGUAGGCCUAACACAUGCACGUCGACCGGCAGCACAGUAAGAGCUUGCUCUUACGGGUGGCGAGUGGCGGACGGGUGAGGAAUACAUCGGAAUCUACUUUUUCGUGGGGGAUAACGUAGGGAAACUUACGCUAAUACCGCAUACGACCUACGGGUGAAAGCAGGGGAUCUUCGGACCUUGCGCGAUUGAAUGAGCCGAUGUCGGAUUAGCUAGUUGGCGGGGUAAAGGCCCACCAAGGCGACGAUCCGUAGCUGGUCUGAGAGGAUGAUCAGCCACACUGGAACUGAGACACGGUCCAGACUCCUACGGGAGGCAGCAGUGGGGAAUAUUGGACAAUGGGCGCAAGCCUGAUCCAGCCAUACCGCGUGGGUGAAGAAGGCCUUCGGGUUGUAAAGCCCUUUUGUUGGGAAAGAAAAGCAGCAGGUUAAUACCCCGCUGUUCUGACGGUACCCAAAGAAUAAGCACCGGCUAACUUCGUG
rnacentral:rRNA from 1 species